rnacentral:rRNA from 1 species
GUAUUAUCCAUAGUUCGUUAUUACUGGAAUGUUUUUCGAACGAAAGAUCCGUCGCUUCAGGAUGAGUCUGCGGCCGAUUAGGUAGUUGUUGGGGUAAUUGCCCAACAAGCCUGUAAUCGGUACGGGUUGUGGGAGCAAGAGCCCGGAGAUGGAUUCUGAGACACGAAUCCAGGCCCUACGGGGCGCAGCAGGCGCGAAAACUUUACCAUGCGGGCAACCGUGAUAAGGAAACCCCGAGUGCCAGCACAGGCUGGCUGUCCGCCAGUUUAAACAACUGGCGAAGAAAGGGCCGGGCAAGACCGGUGCCAUCCGCCGCGGUAAUACCGGCGGCUCGAGUGGUGGCCGCUAUUACUGGGCUUAAAGGGUCCGUAGCUUGAUAAUAGGGUCCCUUGAGAAAUCCGCCGGCUUAACUGGCGGGCGUUCAGGGGAAACUUGUUUUCUAGGGACCGGGAGAGGUGAGGGGUACUGCCGGGGUAGGAGUGAAAUCCUGUAAUCCCGGUGGGACCACCUAUGGCGAAAGCAUCUCACCAAAACGGGUCCGACAGUGAGGGACGAAAGCUGGGGGAGCAAACCGGAUUAAAUACCCGGGUAUUCCCAGCUGUAAACUAUGUGCGUUAGGUGU